GAGUUGUGCUUUACCUGUUGAUUGUCUCGCUUUGUAGGCACUGCUUUUCUCCGGCAGCUUUGCUACAGGUGAAGUUCGCUUAAGGCCUGAGCUUCACCAAGUCUGUGAGCUGGCAAAGUGCACAGCGGCCUUGUGUCUCUCCCCUCUCAUCCACGCUGAGUGACAGCUGUGCUCUCUUGGUGAUUUAUAUCCACGCUGACCAACACUGGAUUCACUGACACUGAACAGCUGUACGUCCCUUCACUGCUCAUCUUGGUGAAUGGGAGGGUAUAGGAAGCAUCCCCGCCUGCCAGGCCCCUCAGCCCAACUCCAGUCCCCUGGC